UACGUAGGGACCGAGCGUUGUCCGGAUUCAUUGGGCGUAAAGAGCUCGUAGGCGGCCACUCAAGUCGAAUGUGAAACCUCGAGGCUUAACCUCGAGUCUGCAUUCGAUACUGGGCGGCUAGAGUCUGGUAGGGGGAUCUGGAAUUCCUGGUGUAGCGGUGGAAUGCGCAGAUAUCAGGAGGAACACCGGUGGCGAAGGCGGAUCUCUGGGCCAUUACUGACGCUGAGGAGCGAAAGCGUGGGGAGCGAACAGG
rnacentral:rRNA from 1 species